rnacentral:rRNA from 1 species
UCAAGCUACAAAGGGCUCACGGUGGAUACCUUGGCACACAGAGGCGAUGAAGGACGUGGUUACCUGCGAUAAGUCUCGGGGAGCUGGAAACACGCUUUGAUCCGGGAAUUUCCGAAUGGGGCAACCCUUAGAACGGCCGCCUGAAUCCAUAGGGCGGCACGAGCCAACCCAGCGAACUGAAACAUCUUAGUAGCUGGAGGAAAGGAAAGUAAAAACGACUCCCUAAGUAGCGGCGAGCGAACGGGGAAGAGCCUAAACCGAUGCUUCCGAGCAUCGGGGUUGUGGGACAGCAACGUGGACCAACGGAGUUAGAAGAAGCGUUUGAAUGGCGCGCCACAGAGGGUGAAAGCCCCGUAUUCGAAAACAAAGUUGGCCUAGCUGUAUCCCGAGUAGCACGGAGCACGUGAAAUUCCGUGUGAAUCUGCGAGGACCACCUCGUAAGGCUAAGUACUCCUGUGUGACCGAUAGCGAAACAGUACCGCGAGGGAAAGGUGAAAAGAACCCCGGGAGGGGAGUGAAAUAGAACAUGAAACCGUGAGCUUACAAGCAAUGGGAGCCCGACUAAUCGGGUGACCGUGUGCCUGUUGAAGAAUGAGCCGGCGACUUAUAGGCACUGGCAGGUUAAACCGGGAAUGGUGGAGCCAUAGCGAAAGCGAGUCUGAAUAGGGCGAUCGUCAGUGUUUAUAGACCCGAACCCGGGUGAUCUAACCAUGGCCAGGAUGAAGCUUGGGUGAUACCAAGUGGAGGUCCGAACCGACUGAUGUUGAAAAAUCAGCGGAUGAGCUGUGGUUAGGGGUGAAAUGCCAAUCGAACCCGGAGCUAGCUGGUUCUCCCCGAAAUACGUUGAGGCGUAGCGUCUAGUGCUCCAGCAGGGGGGUAAAGCCACCGUUUCGGUGCGGGCUGCGAGAGCGGUACCAAAUCGAUACGAACUCUGAAUACCCUGUGUGUAACUAGGCAGUCAGACUGUGGGGGAUAAGCUCCAUGGUCGAAAGGGAAACAGCCCAGACCGCCAGCUAAGGUCCCCAAAUCAAUGCUGAGUGAUAAAGGAGGUGGGAUUGCCCAGACAACCAGGAGGUUUGCCUAGAAGCAGCCAUCCUCAAAGGAGUGCGUAAUAGCUCACUGGUCGAGCGAUCCUGCGCCGAAAAUGAACGGGGCUAAGCAUUGUACCGAAGCUGCGGAUUUGAGUCUUAAUUGAUUCCGAUGGUAGGGGAGCGUUCCAUGCGGGGUGAAGCGUUAGCGUAAGCGGGCGUGGACUACAUGGAAGUGAGAAUGUCGGCUUGAGUAGCGAAAACAUGGGUGAGAAUCCCAUGCCCCGAAACCCUAAGGGUUCCUCCGGCAGGCUCGUCCGCGGAGGGUUAGUCAGGACCUAAGGCGAGGCCGAAAGGCGUAGUCGAUGGACAACAGGUCAACAUUCCUGUACCUGUGAUGUUUUGGGAAGGGGGACGGAGAAGGCUAGCCAAGCCAGAUGUUGGUUACUGGUCCAAGCGUUCGAGGCGUUGAGAACCGGCGAAAACGGUUUGAGCUGAGGCGUGAGUGCGAGCUGCUACGGCAGCGAAGUUGGUGACGUCAUGCUUCCAAGAAAAGCCCUAUACCCGUUAAGGCAUCAUGGCCUGUACCCGAAACCGACACAGGUGGGGUGGUAGAGAAUACCGAGGGGCGCGAGGUAACUCUCUCUAAGGAACUCGGCAAAAUGACCCCGUAACUUCGGGAGAAGGGGUGCCACCGCAAGGUGGUCGCAGUGAAGAGGCCCAGGCGACUGUUUACCAAAAACACAGGUCUCCGCUAAGUCGCAAGACGAUGUAUGGGGGCUGACGCCUGCCCAGUGCCGGAAGGUUAAGGAAGCUGGUCAGCGUAAGCGAAGCUAGCGACUGAAGCCCCGGUGAACGGCGGCCGUAACUAUAACGGUCCUAAGGUAGCGAAAUUCCUUGUCGGGUAAGUUCCGACCCGCACGAA